rnacentral:lncRNA from 1 species
AAAAAUAUUAUCAGGAGGACAACUGCUACACCAAAAGCGAAUAAGCAUGAGUAACUAAGAAUUGGAAUAAUAAUAUGGAGUUUUGACAAUUUUCCAGCCAUGGUAAAUUUUACAGGGCAACAAUAAAUAGCUUCUCAUCACACUAAGUAGAUGUUCAACGCAUACAAAUUAUAAGCACUAAAAGAUCUCAACAGUUUGAGAACAAAUGAAAUGGAGUUUUGACAAUUUUCUAGCCAUGGUAAAUUUUACAGGGCAACAAUAAAUAGCUUCUCAUCACACUA